CACGUAGGGUGCGAGCGUUGUCCGGAAUUAUUGGGCGUAAAGAGCUCGUAGGCGGUGUGUCGCGUCGGCCGUGAAAACCUGCAGCUUAACUGUGGGCGUGCGGUCGAUACGGGCAUCACUGGAGUUCGGUAGGGGAGACUGGAAUUCCUGGUGUAGCGGUGAAAUGCGCAGAUAUCAGGAGGAACACCGAUGGCGAAGGCAGGUCUCUGGGCAUUAACUGACGCUGAGGAGCGAAAGCAUGGGGAGCGAACAGG
rnacentral:rRNA from 1 species